UUGGCUUACAGGAAGCCAUGCCCAUAGGA
rnacentral:piRNA from 1 species